UUCUUCGUCCUUUUGGGGAAAUCCGAUAACAUUAGAAAGAUACAGAAAAUAUUAACAUGAUCCAUGCACCAGGAUGACACGAGAAAUUGUCUAAAUUUUU